rnacentral:rRNA from 1 species
AUUGAACGCUGGCGGCUUGCUUUACACAUGCAAGUCGAACGGUAACAGGCCGCAGGGUGCUGACGAGUGGCGAACGGGUGAGUAAUGCAUCGGAACGUGCCCAGUCGUGGGGGAUAACGCAGCGAAAGCUGUGCUAAUACCGCAUACGAUCUAUGGAUGAAAGCGGGGGACCGUAAGGCCUCGCGCGAUUGGAGCGGCCGAUGUCAGAUUAGGUAGUUGGUGGGGUAAAGGCCUACCAAGCCGACGAUCUGUAGCUGGUCUGAGAGGACCACCACCCACACUGGGACUGAGACACGGCCCACACUCCUACGGGAGGCAGCAGUGGGGAAUUUUGGACAAUGGGCGCAAGCCUGAUCCAGCAAUGCCGCGUGCAAGAAGAAGGCCUUCGGGUUGUAAACUGCUUUUGCACGGAACGAAACGGUCUGGGUUAAUACCCUGGGCUAAUGACGGUACCGUAAGAAUAAGCACCGGCUAACUACGUGCCAGCAGCCGCGGUAAUACGUAGGGUGCAAGCGUUAAUCGGAAUUACUGGGCGUAAAGCGUGCGCAGGCU